GCCGAUGUAGCUCAGUUGGCAGAGCACAGCUUUCGUAAAGCUGGGGUCGUGAGUUCGAAUCUCACCAUCGGCA
rnacentral:tRNA from 2 species